rnacentral:misc_RNA from 1 species
UCCACGAAGCUAGCAGAGCUCUAGUGGUGAUUUCGUGAACUUGUUUCCCGUGUUAAUGAAAGUGAAAAGUGAGGCUGCGGAGCGAUGUAUGUUUUUUCGUGUUAUAAGGUCACCGUGACGUAGACUGGAGACGCAGAAAAGAAAGUCUUAAAUCGAAACUACUAUCGAGACAGCGUAUAAGGCUUAGUUCUCCAAGUUAGCUAUCAUGCAAAAGCAACGAAAGUUUUUUAAUUUUAAACUAAGGCAUGACGGCCGAUGGCAUAUCCCGUUACCGUCGGGGCCUUUCACGGUGGGCUGCACAGACAUCAUGACCAGUUAUUCCAAGUCCGGGAUAUUUGUGAGAUUGUUUUACCCUGCAGCUCAGAAUGGUAUUUUGGAACGUAGCUCUCAAUGGCCUCUUAUGAUUCCUCAUCCACUGUACCUCGAGGGUAUUGCAGAUUUUCUUGGGUUUCCACCUUCAGUUAUUCGUUUUGUGAACCGACACUUCAUUGGUAAUGUUCACUGCCCUGCUUUGUGGAAUGCUGCCCCGAUGACAGAAAGUCGCAAGUUCCCAGUUGUUGUUUUCUCUCACGGUCUUGGAUGUUGUCGUACUUCAUAUAGUACCAUUUGUCUAGAGCUGGCCUCCAAUGGCUAUAUUGUGGCAGCAGUCGAACAUAGAGAUUAUUCAGCUUGUUUAUCGUCUUAUGUCAUAAAAGAAACGCGAUCGAACUUUGAAGACACGCCUGACAUUAAAGGUAGUGAUAACGAAGAUAGUAACUAUAAACAUAUCGAAGACUUAGUCAAAAAGACGAAUGACUUUAAAGUGAAUACUGCUGUCACGGAAGUAGACUUUGAAGAUGUACGACCUGAGCUCAAGUACUUGGGGAGUCAAAACCAGUAUCUUGGUAUUCCACAUACAUCGAGGAAAUGGGUUUAUUACCGUCAACUUAAGAAAAGUGCAAAUGAAUACAAAGUUCGCCACAACCAAACAAAACAGCGAGCUUAUGACUGUAUUCAAGUACUGGACCUUCUGGAAGCCCUAAACAAUGGUCUUCCCAUACACAAUGUGAUCAACCUUUCUUUCCAAGCCAGUCAAUUUAAAGGAAUUAUGGACCUCUCCAGAGCUGCAGUGGCCGGACACUCGUUUGGGGGCACCACUGUUGUUCUCUCGCUUGCACUGGAUCUCCGAUUCAAGAUAGGCUUAGCCCUAGAUUCAUGGAUGUUCCCGUUACAGAAGAACCAAGAGAUUUUUUCUAAAGUGACUCAGCCCAUAUUGUUCGUUAAUAUGGAGAAGUUUCAGACACUAGAGAACCUGAGAGUCAUGAAAAAUUUGGAAUCCAAAAAAGUCGAUCGCAAAGUAGUAACUGUCAAAGGUGCAGUCCAUAUGAACCAAAUUGAUGUAGUAUUUGGGCUUGGUCCAAUCUUACGAAUGUGUAUCGGGGCUUAUUCUCGAGUCAACCGCUUCACAGUCAUUGACCUCACCACACGUCAUAUGUUGGUGUUUUUAUCAAAGCAUUUCGGUAUACCAGCGCAACAAGAGCACGAGAUUUAUAUGAAAAGAAAUAAGAAGAAAAUCAAAGAAGGGAUUAUUCUAAAGAAAUCUCAACUAAUUUAAAUUUAGGGAAAACGAAACGAAAAUUUCCCUUCCAAUUCCCUGUUAACUAAUUACGAGCAAGGAUAAUAAGAAGUACAGAGACUAUGGGAUUAGUGAUUUUUCUUUUUUUUUCUAUGAAUGAAUCCAUUAAACCCAACUUAUAAGAAUCAACGAGAAUGUAAAUUCCCCAACUAAAGGCAGCUCUUGAGUAACACUAUUUCGUGUUUGAUCAUACACGAUGUUGUUGAUUUAUGUUAUACUCUUGUAACAAUGAAUUAUAUAUAUAUCUCAUCUUGAACCUGUAUCUGUUUACCAUACAAUAAAUGUUAUAUAUCUAACUA